rnacentral:lncRNA from 1 species
GGCUUCUCUGUUCCUUGCAGUGAAGAAGCAAAGAAGGAGUUCUAAAUGGCCUAAAAGUCCUCCCGUGGGACUUAUCAGCAGGACUCACCUCAUCAGGAACUCAACUCUUUCCAACAUCAGCUCAGCUGAAGACUGCUGCAGACGCCUGAAGGACCAGACUCUGUCUCUCCUCCAGUAAGUGGGCUCUGCAGGAUGCUUCACAUCACUGUUGAGAGGACCUCUAGAUUGGCUUAGUUAUAACAACACCCAAAGGUCUCUCCACUAGAUGUUCCCACAUAGCCUGGUAUGUGACCCUCCUGACAGGAAAGCAUUGCAUGAAUGUGUUGAC